rnacentral:rRNA from 1 species
UACAGGGGGGGCAAGCGUUGUUCGGAAUUACUGGGCGUAAAGGGUCUGUAGGUGGCCAACUAAGUCAGACGUGAAAUCCCUCAGCUUAACUGGGGAACUGCGUCUGAUACUGGAUGGCUCGAGUGUGGGAGAGGAAUGCGGAAUUCCAGGUGUAGCGGUGAAAUGCGUAGAUAUCUGGAGGAACACCGGUGGCGAAGGCGGCAUUCUGGACCAUAACUGACACUGAGACGCGAAAGCGUGGGGAGCGAACAGG